ACAGCUGCACUCAGAAUUCCUUCCUGUAACCACUCACUAACCUAACAUUCACCAAGCGCCUACUCAGUUCAGGAACCGUGUGCUAGCCCAGACUCCCAAGCAAAGCAGGCUACCUCCCUUCUCCAGGGAAAAAGCAAAGAAUGUACAAUGAGACUCAACUACAAUGUUCUUGGACUCUACUCCAAAUGAUGGUGGAGAAGAUCUUCCCUAUUCUUUUAUAGAUACUGCAAGGUUUUGUCCCUCAUUGCAACACAGGUAUCAGAGGCCAGAUCUGGAUGGGUCCAGUUGGUGGGACAUGGACGGCAAGAAGAGAGCAUCUGAGAAAGGCACAUUGGCAGCCAAGUAAGAUGCUGACAAUGAAUACACAGGACAGCUGCAGUGCAGGACUAUUUAGAGGUUGGAAGAUAAAAAAUUAGCCCAGAAUGGCACAUGUGACAAAGAACUUGAAGAGCCAGUUCCUGGAUACAACAGAAAGAGAUGCCGCCUGGAAAUGAAGAGGAUCUUUACAUGCACUGACUGGACAAUAAAAACCACAUAAGUACCUCUUCUAUACUGAUA
rnacentral:lncRNA from 13 species